CCUACGGGAGGCUGCAGUGGGGAAUAUUGGACAAUGGGGGAAACUCUGACGCAGCGACGCCGCGUGAGUGAAGAAGUUCUUCGUUAUGUAAAGCUCUAUCGUCAGGGAAGAAAUACUUACCUUACGCUCAGCAGUCUGUACCUGCUUACUACGUGCCGGCUACCUACGUGCUAGCAGCCGCGGUAAUAUGUAGGGGGCAGGCGUUAUCCGGAUUUACGGGGGGUAAGGGUACCGUAUACGGUUCACCAAGUCUGGACUGAAAUGCCGCGGCUUAACUGCGGCUCUGCUUUGGAAACUGGAGGACUAGAGUGCGGGAGGGGUAAGCGGAAUUCCUAGUGUAGCGGUGAAAUGCGUAGAUAUUAGGAGGAACACCGGAGGCGAAGGCGGCUAACUGGACUGUAACUGACGUUGAGGCACGAAAGCGUGGGGAGCAAACAGGAUUAGAUACCCCUGUAGUC
rnacentral:rRNA from 1 species